rnacentral:misc_RNA from 1 species
GAAAUGCGAUAAGUAAUGUGAAUUGCAGAAUUCAGUGAAUCAUCGAAUCUUUGAACGCACAUUGCGCCCGCCAGUAUUCUGGCGGGCAUGCCUGUUCGAGCGUCAUUUCAACCAUCAAGCCCCCGGCUUGUGUUGGGGACCUGCGGCUGCCCGCAGGCCCUGAAAAACAGUGGCGGCCUCGCUGUCACACCGAGCGUAGUAGCAUACAUUCUCGCUCAGGGCGUGCUGCGGGUUCCGGCCGUUAAACGACCUUCAUAACCCAAGGUUGACCUCGGAUCAGGUAGGAAGACCCGCUGAACUUAAGC